rnacentral:rRNA from 1 species
GACGAACGCUGGCGGCGUGCUUAACACAUGCAAGUCGAACGAAAAGGCCCUGAGUUUGUGGGGUUCUCGAUUGGCGAGCGGGUGAGUAACACGUGAGUAACCUGCCCUUGUCUUUGGGAUAACUUUAGGAAACUGCGGCGAAUACCCGAUAGGAUCUCUUGCUCCAUGUUGGUGGUUGGAAAGUUUCGGCGGUUGGGGAUGGUCUCGCUGGUUAUCAGCUUGUUUGUCUGGUAGUGGCUUACAAAGGCUUUGACGGGUAGCCCGCCUGAGAGGGUGACCGGCGACCUGGGGACUGAGAUAGGGACCAGAAGGCUACCGGAGGCAGCGGUGGGGAGUAUUGCGCAGUGGGCGGAAGCCUGAGGUAGAAACCCUGCGUGCGUGAUGACGUCUUUCGGGUGAUAAACAGAUUUGGAAGGAGCCGAAGCGUUCGUGACGGUACUGAGUAAGAAAGCCCCGGCUAACUACGUG